UACGAAGGGGCGAGCGUUGUUCGGAUUUACUGGGCGUAAAGGGCGCGUAGGCGGCGCGAGAAGUCGAGUGUGAAAGCCCCGGGCUCAACCUGGGAAUUGCGCUCGAUACUCUUGUGCUUGAGUUCGGGAGAGGAGCGUGGAAUUCCCAGUGUAGAGGUGAAAUUCGUAGAUAUUGGGAAGAACACCGGUGGCGAAGGCGGCGCUCUGGACCGAGACUGACGCUGAGGCGCGAAAAGCGUGGGGAGCAAACAGG
rnacentral:rRNA from 1 species